GACGUAGGGCGCGAGCGUUGUCCGGAUUUAUUGGGCGUAAAGAGCUCGUAGGCGGCUUGUCGCGUCAACUGUGAAAACCCGUGGCUCAACCAUGUGGUCUGCAGUCGAUACGGGCAGGCUAGAAUUCGGUAGGGGAGACUGGAAUUCCUGGUGUAGCGGUGAAAUGCGCAGAUAUCAGGAGGAACACCGAUGGCGAAGGCAGGUCUCUGGGCCACUACUGACGCUGAGAAGCGAAAGCGUGGGGAGCGAACAGG
rnacentral:rRNA from 1 species